GCCAGGCAUGGUGGAGCACACCUGUAAUUCCAGUGACUUGGGAGGCUGAGGCAGGAGGAUCACAAGUUCGAGACUAACAUCAGCAACUUAGUGAGACCCUAAGCUACUUAGUGAAACCCUGUCUCAA
rnacentral:sRNA from 1 species